AAUGUAUAAUUAAUUAAUUUGUGCUUUUUUUUGUUUUGAAGAUUUAAUUUUUUUUUCUUUUUUUUGUUUUUUGUAGACCUGUCAUACUAUACUCACGGUAUAACCGUAUAAGAUCUGUCAUACUAUACUCAGUUACUCACGGUAUAACCGUAUAAGAUCUGUCAUACUAUACUCACGGUAUAAGUGUAUAACCGUAUAAGGUAUUUUUUCUUUUUUCUUUUUCUAUGUAUAAUUAAUUAAUUUGUGCUUUUUUUUUUUUUGAAGUUUUAAUUUUUUUUUUCUUUUUUUUUUGUAGAUCUGUCAUAUUCUACUCACGGUAUAAGGUAUUUUUUUAUUCUUAUUCUAAGUUUCGAUCUUUUGUUCAUUAAUUGUUCUGCAAUGUAUAUUUCGUUAUUUUGUGCUUUUGUUUGUGUGAAAUUUUAUUUUUCUGUGUAUAUGAUCAUGAUGUUGAGUAUAUGAAUUUGAUGGGGGGUUUUUAUGGUUUAUACUAUAUGAUACUUGUAUAAAAAAAAGCAUAUAUUAUAAUUCAAUGUAACAUGUAGUUUUAGUUAGUGUUAUGUUGUGUAUUUAUGUCCCAAAUCACAAUUUAAUCCAAGAAUUGUUUGUGGGAAGUAUGAUAUGAGGAUUUUUUUUUUGUUCAAAUUUAGUUUUUGUGUAUAUGAUCAUGAUGUUGAGUGUUCAUGAUAUUCUGGGUGUGUCCUACAAUGUACAAAUAUUACUCAAAAAUAUUUCACAUGGAAUCUAUGAUUAAUUCUUUCCUUGUUCUAUAUUUGCCCCUUCUUUUCUUUUUAAUGAUUUUUAUUUAAAUUUUAGUGCAAAUUGAGUUGUCAUUAGACAGUGGAGUCAGUGGUUAUAAACUUUUAAUGGCUAAUGAUUUCAAAAUGGAUGCACUCCUGUCUUUCACAUUCAUUAUAAGUUUAUAACACCUUAAAUAGUAGGAUUGGUUUUCUAAAUUUGUCUUAAACUGCCAUUUUGUAUUGUACUAUUGUUCUUUUCUCCUUUAUAAGUCUUCAUAUGUUAGCUGGAUUUUCAUGAUUUGAUUCUUCACAGAGGGAUUGUUAUAAGGAUUCCUUGAUUCUAUAUACUAGUAGGUUUUUGGGUAUUUCUUAUAGACUUGAUGCUGAUGAAUGGGAUACCA